rnacentral:rRNA from 1 species
GCCUAUGGCGUACCGCCCUGAGAGCGCCCGGUCUCGUCUGAUCUCGGAAGCUAAGCAGGGUCAGGCCCGGUUAGUACUUGGAUGGGAAUACCGGGUGCUGUAGGCU